rnacentral:rRNA from 1 species
AUUGAACGCUGGCGGCAGGCCUAACACAUGCAAGUCGAACGGUAACAGGAAGAAGCUUGCUUCUUUGCUGACGAGUGGCGGACGGGUGAGUAAUGUCUGGGAAACUGCCUGAUGGAGGGGGAUAACUACUGGAAACGGUAGCUAAUACCGCAUAACGUCGCAAGACCAAAGAGGGGGACCUUCGGGCCUCUUGCCACCGGAUGUGCCCAGAUGGGAUUAGCUAGUAGGUGGGGUAACGGCUCACCUAGGCGACGAUCCCUAGCUGGUCUGAGAGGAUGACCAGCCACACUGGAACUGAGACACGGUCCAGACUCCUACGGGAGGCAGCAGUGGGGAAUAUUGCACAAUGGGCGCAAGCCUGAUGCAGCCAUGCCGCGUGUAUGAAGAAGGCCUUCGGGUUGUAAAGUACUUUCAGCGGGGAGGAAGGGAGUAAAGUUAAUACCUUUGCUCAUUGACGUUACCCGCAGAAGAAGCACCGGCUAACUCCGUG